GACGUAGGAUGCAAGCGUUUGUCCGGAAUUAUUGGGCGUAAAGAGUUCGUAGGUGGUUACUUAAGUCUGGUGUUAAAGCCCGAAGCUCAACUUCGGCAUGGCAUUGGAAACUGGGUAGCUAGAGUGUGGUAGAGGUAUCGGGAAUUCCUGGUGUAGCGGUGAAAAUGCGUAGAUAUAGGAAGGAACACCCAGUGGCGAAGGCGACCACCUGGACUGAUACUGACACUGAGGUGCGAAAAGCGUGGGGGAGCAAACAGG
rnacentral:rRNA from 1 species